rnacentral:lncRNA from 1 species
GCCAGGCAUGGUGGCACGUGCCUGUAAUCCCAGCUACUCAGGAGGCUGAGGCAGGAGAAUCGCUUGAACCUGGGAGGCGGAGUUUGCAGUGAGCCAAGAUUGUGCCAUUGCACUCCAGCCUGGGUGACAGAGUAAGACUCCUUCUCAAAAAAAAAGGGGAGGGGGUCUCACUGUUGCCCAGGCUGGAGUGCAGUGGUGCAAUCAUGGCUCACUGCAACCUUGAACUCCUGGGCUCAGGUGAUCCUCCUGCCUCAGCCUCCUGGGUCCUGGGUAGAUGGGACUACAGGCAGGUGCCACACACCCAGCUAAUUUUGUUUGUUUGUUUGUUUUGUAGAGAUAAGAGUCUUGCUUUGUUGCCUAGGCUGGUCUUGAACUCCUGGCCUCAAGGGAUCCUACUACCUUGGCCUCCCAAAGUGCUGGGAUUACAGGAGUGAGUCACUGCACCUGGCCCUGUUGUGCUCUUUUGAAACUAAUUUUGAUGGAGGCCACUGAAAUGUAUCCCAACAGACUUUUCAUGUAGCACCUGCUCUGCCUGUGCCGUGCUAAGAGGCUCUUUCCACUGAAUCUGUUGGAUGGUCAUUGAAGUACGAUGCCAUAACAAGGUGCUGAGGGCCGAGCCAGGCUCUCUAAAGAUGAAGGUUCUGGGAAGGACAGAGAAGAAUCCAGAGGAAAUGGAUUCCUGCGCCGGUGCAUACACAUGGGGCAGGGGAGUGCUACUGCUGCUGCACAAAGAGUUAUGCCCUGCAGUCUGGGAGCACGAUUGUGUCUGUGCACCUGUGUGUUUCAGAGAUGCUCCAGCACACCAGCACUGACCUUCAGGCAGCCUCUUGCAGCCUCAGUCCCUGGGAAAAGCCCAGUUUCCUUCAUAAUCAUGUCAGGGAAGGGACAAGAGAUGGCACAUUUCACUCUAAUGGAAUGUUCUGGAAAGACUGUCAGAGGAAAUUUGUCUCUUGGAAAAUGAUCAGAAUCUUUUUGAGGUGAAGAUCAACCACUUCUAGGCAGAGACCAGUCCAUCUUCCACUGCCAUUCUGGCUUAAGUUCUCCACAGAUGAGUUGAAUCCCUCAGAAGCCACAUCAAAGUUCUGGAAAGAGUGAGGGAGUGAAAGGACACAGCCCCUGACCAGUGGCAUGGACUUGUUGGUGCAGCCAGUGCCAUGGGCUCCACUGCCCAGAGGAGAGCUCUGGAGAGGGCAGAGGAGGCAAGAGGAAGAAGGUGGGCUCUGAGAGCCACACCCACAGCUCAGAUUGCAGGGCAACAGAAGCCACUUUGUCUUCUAAACUCACCUCCCAAGGAAAAAACCCUUCUUCCUCCACUCCCAAAGUGCACCCUUGUUUAGUCAAGCCUGUGUCCCCUGCCCGUAGGAAGGAGGAAAGCUCUUUUUAGUACACCAGCAGAACUACAUUUGAUGAUGCAACUUAGUAACUUUGUGCUUAAGAACAAAGCAGCACUGCUUAGGGCCAAGGGAGGUGAAAGAGAAUCUCCUGGUGGUCAGAGCUCGGGGACAUCCCUGUUAGCUGGGUUGAUCAGGGAAGGCCUCAGGAAGAGGUAAGCUUGAUCUGUACUUUGGAGAUGGGAGGAAUCAGAGAACAGAGAGAAAAAUGGAGGGCACUUUGGCGGGGAAUUUAACACAGACCCUCUUACUCAUUGCACAUAGCUCUUUAAAGCUUACAAAGUAUGUUCACAUGUGUAAUCUCAUUUCAUCCUCAUUGGACUAUGGGAUCCCAGAGGUACUAUCUCAUUUGAGAAGCAAUUCAGCAUAGUAAUUAAGAGUGCAGUUUUUGAAUUUCUGGUUAAAUGUGGCAGAUGGAAUAAAUGCAUUUAUAUCUGCUCCCUCAACAAACCUCACAAAAAUAAAAGUAAAGCGAUGUAAAGAAGCCAAUGGUGGACCACAGAUGUCAACACAUUUUUGGAAGAUGGCAAGUGGAUGGACGGGUUGGCAGAGCUGAGAUAGCUGCAUACCAAGUGCUAUAGCAAAAGAUGCCAAAGAGAAGUCAGUCAGUUGGAGACCUAGGACAAGGGAAAGAUUAGAUAUUGGAGGCACAAGUUAUUGCAGAAGGUGGGAGUGAGGUAUGGGCUAAGAACAAGGGAAUGGGUUGAAAUUCUGCAUAAGAACCAGGUCCCUUCCAUAACAUACACAGGCAGAUAACUACAUCUUCCAUAUCUUGUCAAGGACUGGAGGUUUUAUUCUAGUUAAAAAGUGAAACAGGCCAGGCGCAGUGGCACAUACCUGUAGUGCCAGCUACAUGGGAGCCUAAGGUGGGAGAAUGGCUUGAGCCCGAGAGCUUGAGACCAGCCUGGGAAACAUAGUGAGAACUUGUUUCUAAUUAAAAAUAAAUAAAGCCGGGCAUGGUGGCUCACACCUGUAAUCCCAGCACUUUGGGAGGCCAAGGCGGGAGGAUCACAAGGUCAGGAGAUAGAGACCAUCUUGGCCAACAGGAUGAAACCCUGUCUCUACUAAAACACAAAAAAUUAGUUGGGUGUGGUGGCACGUGCCUUUAAUCCCAGCUACUUGGGAGGCUGAGGCAGGGGAAUCACUUGAACCUGGGAGGCAGAGGUUGUGGUGAGCUGAGAUCGUGCCACUGCACUCCAGCCUGGCGACAGAGCAAGACUUCGUCUCAAAAAUAAAUAAAUAAAUAAAUAGGUCAGGCGCAGUGGCUCACACCUGUAAUCUCAGCACUUUGGGAGGCUAAGGUGGGCGGAUCACAUGAGGCCAGGAGUUUGAGAUCAGUUUUGCCAACAUGGCAAAACCCCUCCUCUACUAGAAAUACAAAAAUUAGCUGAGCAUGGUAGUGCAUGCCUGUAACCCCAGCUACUCGAGAGGCUGAGGCAUGAGAAUCGCUUGAACCCAGGAGGCAGAGGUUGCAGUGAGCCAAGAUUGUGCCAUUGCACUUCAGCCUGGGUGACAGAGUGAGACUCUGUCUCCAGAAAGUAAAAAAAAUUAAAAAUAUAUAUUUAAAAACCCACCAAAGUUACUCAGGAGACUGAGGCAGGAGGAUCGCUUGAGACAGGGCAUUCUAGAAUGUGGUAAGUUAUGAUUGUGCCUGUGAAUAGCCACUGCAUUCCAGCCUGGGCAACGUAGCAACACCUCAUCUAUAAUUUUUUUUUUAAGUGAACCAGGGAUACUUCAUUUCAACACCGGGCACAGUGGAAAGCAGGUGACAGAUGUCAUAAUGAAAACAGGUGUGUUAGGAGACAGUCUGAACAUUAAGACCCUAGGCUCAUGAGACACAGUUUGUAGAAUACUGAUGGCCAGGUGAAUACCCACCCUCUCAGGUGGAGAUUAGGGAUUUUUUUACUAGGGAAACUGAGUAGAGGAAAGAUCUUUAGCUGGCCAUGGUGGGUGGCUCACACCUAUAAUCCUAGCACUUUGGGAAGCCAAGGCAGGCGGAUCAUUUGAGGUCAGGAGUUCACGACCAGCCUGGCCAAUAUAGUAAAACUACUCUACUCUCUACUAAAAAUACAAAAAUUAACCAGGUGUAGUGGUACACACCUGUAAUCCCAGCUACUCAGGAGGCUGAGGCAGGAGAAUCGCUUGAACCCAGGAGGCGAAGGUUGCAGUGAGCAAGAUGGCACCACUGCACUCCAGCCUGGGCAACAGAGAAAGACUCUCUCUCAAAAAAAAAAAAUCAAAAAUAAAAUAAAAUAAAAUAAAUAAAAUAAAAUAAACCCUUUAGAUACUGAGAAAGAGAUUAGAGAAAACGGAGAGAAGAGAGAGCACAGAAAUAAUAGAACGUUUCUCAGAGGUAAAAGACAUGAGUUUCUAGAACAAAAAGACUUACCCAAAGACCUACAAAUACAAUAUAUAAAAAUAUGCCCAAACCAAGUCUCAUUUGCAUGAAAUUUUUGAUGAACUAGGAUAUGGAUAAAAUACUUAAAGUUUCCUUACAGAAAGGAGAGGGUGCACACAAAGGAUAGCGUGGAAUCAGGAAUGGCAAUGGACUUCUCAACAGCCGUCCUGGAGCAAUGCCUUUAAAAGUCUAAAGAAUUCCUAUACUGGCCGGGCUCAGUGGCUCACAUCUGUAAUCCCAACACUUUGGGAGGCUGAGGUGGGUGGAUCCCGAGGUCAGGGGAUCAAGACCAUCUUGGCCAACAUGAUGAAACCCCCUCUCUACUAAAAAUACAAAAAUUAGUUGGGGGUGGUGGUGCGCGCCUGUAGUCCCAGCUACUUGGGAGGCUGAGGCAGGAGAAUUGCUUGCACCCAGGAGGUGCAGGUUGCAGUGAGCCAAGAUCGUGCCACUACCCUCCAGCCUGGUGACAGAGCGAGACUCUGUCUCAAAAAAAAAAAAAAAAAAAAAGAAUUCCUAUGUCAUUCAAGUUAUAAGCCAACUGUGAGGGUAGAAUAAAGAAUUAUCUGAAAUAUAAGGUAUCAAGAUUUUACUUCUCAUGAAUUCUUUUUUAAAUUUUUGAGACAGUCUUGCUCUGUUGCCCAGGCUGGAGUGCAGUGGCCCAGUCUCAGCUCAUGGCAACCUCUGCCUCCGAGGUUCAAGCAACUGCUGUGCCUCAGCCUCCCAAGUACCUGGAACUACAGGCGCUUACCACCACACCUGGCUAAUUUUUGUAUUUUUAGUGGAGAUGGGGUUUCGCCAUGUUGCCCAGUCUGGUCUCAAACUUCUGACUUCAAGUGAUCCGUCCACCACGGCGUCCGGAAGUGCUGGGAUUAUAGGCGUGAGCCACUGUGCCUGGCUCUUCUCGUGCAUUCUUUCUCAGGAAGCCGGUAAAGGACAUGCCCUGUCACACUGAGAUAAGGAUGUGCUUCACUAAAAUGGAAGACUAAGCCAAGAAAGAAAAGAUGUGUGGGAUCCAGGAAAAGGGGACCCACCCAAGAAAAGUGUGAAAGGGAAUCCUCUGAACAACUUCUGUGCAGAAGGCCCAGAGGGAGAUGGAAGGCUCCAGGUCUCCUUAAGGGAACAAAACGGGGGAAUUAAUAGAUUGCCUGAUGUGUUUCAUCAUGUGGAAAUUAGCAUUCAGAAGAUUUUUACAUUCUAUUGAAGAGUUGGGGAUGAAUUCAUGAUAAAGAUAUGGAAAACUAAGAAAAUGGCAGAAAGAAAAAAACAAGAUAAUUAACAUAAGUAAAAACAAAAAAUCAGCACAAGAAAGAUAAUGGAAGAUUAGUUUCAGCAGUAAAUCAUGUGUGUGAAAUCAGUAAGGCCAACACUGAAUACUGAUUUGACAAAAAAUUAUGAUGUAACUAUAUUGGAGUGGUGGAGAAAGGAGAUGAGUGGGGGUGGGGUGAUACAAACUAUUAAAUUAUUAUCUUCCAUAAUAAACUAAGAACAAGCAUUAUAAGUAUAUUAUUUUGAUAUUCAGAGGUAAAUACCAGUAGGCAGAGCUCAAAUGGUUUUUGUUUUUUCUUUUUGUUUUUGAGACAGAGUCUCACUCUGUCACCU